AGUCAAGUAAUUAAGUGCAUGUGGUGGAUGCCUUGGCAGUCAGAGGCGAUGAAAGACGUGAUAGCCUGCGAAAAGCUCCGGGGAGGCGGCAAAUAUCCUUUGAUCCGGAGAUGUCUGAAUGGGGGAACCCACCUACUUUAAGGUAGGUAUUGCAACAUGAAUACAUAGUGUUGCAAGGCGAACGAGGGGAAGUGAAACAUCUCAGUACCCUUAGGAAAAGAAAUCAAUUGAGAUUCCCUCAGUAGCGGCGAGCGAACGGGGAUCAGCCCAUUAAGUUAUGUGUGUUUUAGUGGAACGCUCUGGGAAGUGCGAACGUAGAGGGUGAUAUUCCCGUACACGAAAGGGCACACAUAAUGAUGACGAGUAGGGCGAGGCACGUGAAACCUUGUCUGAAUAUGGGGGGACCAUCCUCCAAGGCUAAAUACUCCUGACUGACCGAUAGUGAACCAGUACCGUGAGGGAAAGGCGAAAAGAACCCCUGUGAGGGGAGUGAAAUAGAUCCUGAAACCGCAUGCAUACAAGCAGUGGGAGCACCUUCGUGGUGUGACUGCGUACCUUUUGUAUAAUGGGUCAGCGACUUAUAUUCAGUAGCGAGGUUAACCGUAUAGGGGAGCCGUAGAGAAAUCGAGUCUUAAUAGGGCGUUUAGUUGCUGGGUAUAGACCCGAAACCAGGCGAUCUAUCCAUGAGCAGGUUGAAGGUUGGGUAACACUAACUGGAGGACCGAACCCACUGUCGUUGAAAAGCCAGGGGAUGACUUGUGGAUAGGGGUGAAAGGCUAAUCAAGCCUGGUGAUAGCUGGUUCUCCCCGAAAGCUAUUUAGGUAGCGCCUCGGACGAAUACCAUAGGGGGUAGAGCACUGUUUCGGCUAGGGGGUCAUCCCGACUUACCAAACCGAUGCAAACUCCGAAUACCUAUGAGUACUAUCCGGGAGACAGACUGCGGGUGCUAACGUCCGUAGUCAAGAGGAAAACAAUCCAGACCGCCAGCUAAGGCCCCAAAAUCAUAGUUAAGUGGGAAACGAUGUGGGAAGGCAUAGACAGCUAGGAGGUUGGCUUAGAAGCAGCCACCCUUUAAAGAAAGCGUAAUAGCUCACUAGUCGAGUCGGCCUGCGCGGAAGAUGUAACGGGGCUAAAACUAUGUGCCGAAGCUGCGGAUGUAUACUUUGUAUACGUGGUAGGGGAGCGUUCUGUAAGCCGAUGAAGGUGUGUUGAGAAGCAUGCUGGAGGUAUCAGAAGUGCGAAUGCUGACGUGAGUAACGACAAAACGGGUGAAAAACCCGUUCGCCGAAAGACCAAGGGUUCCAGUCCAACGUUAAUCGGGGCUGGGUGAGUCGACCCCUAAGGCGAGGCCGAAAGGCGUAGUCGAUGGGAAAAUGGUUAAUAUUCCAUUACUUCUGUGUAAUGCGAUGAGAGGACGGAGAAGGCUAAAUCAGCCUGGCGUUGGUUGUCCAGGUGAAAGGAUGUAGGCAUGUAUCUUAGGCAAAUCCGGGGUACUCUAUGCUGAGAUCUGAUAGCAAGCUGUACUUGUACAGCGAAGUGGUUGAUGCCAUGCUUCCAGGAAAAGUCUCUAAGCUUCAGUUACACAGGAAUCGUACCCGAAACCGACACAGGUGGUCAGGUCGAGUAGACCAAGGCGCUUGAGAGAACUCUGCUGAAGGAACUAGGCAAAAUGGUACCGUAACUUCGGGAGAAGGUACGCUGUUGUUGGUGAUGGAACUCGCUUCCUGAGCUGACGACAGCCGCAGAAACCAGGCCGCUGCAACUGUUUAUUAAAAACAUAGCACUCUGCAAACACGAAAGUGGACGUAUAGGGUGUGAUGCCUGCCCGGUGCUGGAAGGUUAAUUGAUGGGGUUAGCGUAAGCGAAGCUCUUGAUCGAAGCCCCAGUAAACGGCGGCCGUAACUAUAACGGUCCUAAGGUAGCGAAAUUCCUUGUCGGGUAAGUUCCGACCUGCACGAAUGGCAUAAUGAUGGCGGCGCUGUCUCCAGCAGAGGCUCAGUGAAAUCGAAAUCGCUGUGAAGAUGCAGUGUACCCGCGGCUAGACGGAAAGACCCCGUGAACCUUUACUGCAGCUUGACACUGAACUUUGACCUUACUUGUGUAGGAUAGGUGGGAGGCUUUGAAGCUGGAACGCUAGUUCCAGUGGAGCCGUCCUUGAAAUACCACCCUGGUAAUGUUGAGGUUCUAACUCUGUCCCGUGAUCCGGGACGAGGACCGUGUCUGGUGGGUAGUUUGACUGGGGCGGUCUCCUCCUAAAGAGUAACGGAGGAGUACGAAGGUGCGCUCAGCGUGGUCGGAAAUCACGCGUAGAGUAUAAAGGCAAAAGCGCGCUUAACUGCGAGACCCACAAGUCGAGCAGGUACGAAAGUAGGUCUUAGUGAUCCGGUGGUUCUGUAUGGAAGGGCCAUCGCUCAACGGAUAAAAGGUACUCUGGGGAUAACAGGCUGAUACCGCCCAAGAGUUCAUAUCGACGGCGGUGUUUGGCACCUCGAUGUCGGCUCAUCUCAUCCUGGGGCUGAAGCAGGUCCCAAGGGUAUGGCUGUUCGCCAUUUAAAGAGGUACGCGAGCUGGGUUUAGAACGUCGUGAGACAGUUCGGUCCCUAUCUACCGUGGGCGCUGGAAAUUUGAGAGGAUCUGCUCCUAGUACGAGAGGACCAGAGUGGACGACUCUGGUGUACCGGUUGUGACGCCAGUCGCAUCGCCGGGUAGCUAUGUUCGGAAGGGAUAACCGCUGAAAGCAUCUAAGCGGGAAGCCUACCUCAAGAUAAGAUUUCCCUAGGACUUUAUGUCCUCUAAAGAGCCGUUCGAGACUAGGACGUUGAUAGGUUGGAUGUGGAAGCAUAGUGAUAUGUGAAGCUGACCAAUACUAAUUGCUCGUGAGGCUUGACUAU
rnacentral:rRNA from 1 species